rnacentral:lncRNA from 1 species
UAGGAUGUAAACACAUAGUGGAGGAGCAUUAUUUAAACUAAGGAGAAUAUACCAGUUGCAAAGUGUGAAUAAGCAAAAUAAUAUAGCAAGCAAACAGUAGGAACAAACUCAAAUUCCCAGCAGGACACUUGAAGGAUCGAAGAGAACUCAAAGGUGUUUCAGAAAGCAAAAAGUAGAAGUAUAGGAAAAAGAGAGUAGAAAGCAGAGUGCUUAAUACUAUGUGUAAGAAUGUAACUCGAGAGUCUUAGUCUAAUUGUGUGUCUCAAGUGCAGAAAAGUAUGUUCAAGUGUAGAAGAGUAGCCCCUUUUAUAUUGCAGAAAACAAGUAUGAAGAGGUAAGAAAUAACUUUGAAAACCAGUCUCAAUGAUUUGCCUUUAGUCAAGGGAUUUGAUUUCAAACGUGCAUGAG